AGAGUUUGAUCCUGGCUCAGGAUGAACGCUAGCUACAGGCUUAACACAUGCAAGUCGAGGGGCAGCGGGGAGGAUGCUUGCAUUCUCCGCCGGCGACCGGCGCACGGGUGCGUAACGCGUAUCGAACCUACCUCAUACUCGGGCAUAGCCUUGCGAAAGUAAGAUUAAUUCCCGAUGUUCUGCCAAUAUCGCAUGAGAUUGGCAGCAAAGUAUUUCGGUAUGAGAUGGCGAUGCGUCCCAUUAGUUAGUUGGCGGGGUAACGGCCCACCAAGACAUCGAUGGGUAGGGGUUCUGAGAGGAAGGUCCCCCACAUUGGAACUGAGACACGGUCCAAACUCCUACGGGAGGCAGCAGUGAGGAAUAUUGGUCAAUGGACGAGAGUCUGAACCAGCCAAGUAGCGUGCAGGAUGACGGCCCUCCGGGUUGUAAACUGCUUUUAGUUGGGAAUAAAGUUCGGGACGUGUCCCGAUUUGUAGUACCAUCAGAAAAAGGACCGGCUAAUUCCGUGCCAGCAGCCGCGGUAAUACGGAAGGUCCGGGCGUUAUCCGGAUUUAUUGGGUUUAAAGGGAGCGCAGGCGGGCUUUUAAGUCAGUUGUGAAAUACGGCGGCUCAACCGUCGGACUGCAGUUGAAACUGGAAGUCUUGAGUUCACACAGGGAUGCCGGAAUUCAUGGUGUAGCGGUGAAAUGCUCAGAUAUCAUGAAGAACUCCGAUCGCGAAGGCAGGCAUCCGGGGUGUUACUGACGCUGAGGCUCGAAAGUGCGGGUAUCAAACAGGAUUAGAUACCCUGGUAGUCCGCACAGUAAACGAUGAACACUCGCAGUUGGCGAUACAGUGUCAGCUGCUUAGCGAAAAGCGUUAAGUGUU
rnacentral:rRNA from 1 species